rnacentral:lncRNA from 1 species
GUGCAGAUUGGGGAUGAAAUGCAGAAAUUUGUUGUCUGUUUCAAAGCAAAUUAUAAGUAAUGUUUCUGAUUACUUCGAUGAGGAAAAAUGCAAAAAAAGCCAAUUGUUGAUAUGUAUAAAGUUGUAGAACAUUCCUUCAGUAGCAACUGGAAUGUUUUUAUCAACUAUAAAACAAAUAAGAGCUGAAAACUUCGUCGUAAUAUUUUGUGCCUUGAUAUUGGACCUCGAAACACCACUGGAUUAUAGGAUUUUUUGUAUGUACAGUAUUAAAAAUCAAUUAACUCAUUAUAUAGUAGACACGAUUAAAACAUAUCAAACUAAUAAAGAUAGUUUAUAUAUAAUGACAGCAAAAAUAUAUUCAUAUAUA